GAGGAAUAUUGGACAAUGGGCGCAAGCCUGAUCCAGCCAUGCCGCGUGCAAGAAGAAGCAUCUAUGGUGUGUAAACUGCUUUUGUACGGGAAGAAACACUCCUUCGUGAAGGAGCUUGACGGUACCGUAAGAAUAAGGAUCGGCUAACUCCGUGCCAGCAGCCGCGGUAAUACGGAGGAUCCAAGCGUUAUCCGGAAUCAUUGGGUUUAAAGGGUCCGUAGGCGGUUUAGUAAGUCAGUGGUGAAGGCCCAUCGCUCAACGAUGGAACGGCCAUUGAUACUGCUAGACUUGAAUUAUUAGGAAGUAACUAGAAUAUGAAGUGUAGCGGUGAAAUGCUUAGAUAUUGCAUGGAAUACCAAUUGCGAAGGCAGGUUACUACUAAUGGAUUGACGCUGAUGAACGAAAGCGUGGGGAGCGAACA
rnacentral:rRNA from 1 species